rnacentral:lncRNA from 1 species
UCCUCCACCAACACACUGUGUGGACAAGCCCAUCACACCCAUCCACUUUCACAGCGCUCUCGCCUCCUGUAGACGAGAAUAACCAGUUAAUAACUCCUUACACUCCACUCAGAGCGCUUUACAGUAACGGGGACUCCCCUCCUCCACCACCAGUGUGCAUCCCCACCUGCAAGGGUAUACACUACAAGCAAUUCUCCUUUUGCUUUUAACUCGUUAACCGGCUAAGUCAUAAACAACCUUGCUUGCUACACUUGCAGAACACCAGGAAUGCACACCACGGACCGCGGCGAGGCGACCAGCCGCGCAGACCCACCGAGCGCAGGCUCGCUCACGACGACUUCGUGCGAGCGCGCAGCCACAUCCUGUCUGGCGGGUACGCGCAGGGCAAUCCGAGCCCGGCGGCGUGCUUUUGUAUCCAGGUGUGCGAAAGCCAAGCGGAUGCUGCCAUCGGGACCGCUGCAGGGGGAAUUCGCCGUCGCUGUACCAGCUCUGCAAAGAAUCCUCAGUUACUGUCUUCCAAAAUCACAAGGAAAAACCAGGAGUGACCCUGGGAAUUGGGGUUUAUUUACCUGCAGUGCCGUGCUAUAACGCGUUUUCGGAGAUCCUUCCUGGGUGAACCUUCCUGAGCCUGUGGUGGGAAGCUUUCAAAUCCUCAAUGUCCCCAGGCUUGAACAUGUGGACAGAAGAAACGCAGCACCUGAAAGGCAAGUGUCAGUUCUUGUGUCUGGUAAAUUUAGACAAUUACAUGCCGAGAUCCCAACUCACAGAUAUCAAUAUCGCUGUGCAUUCUUUGGUGAGUCAGAGACAAAGUCACACUUUAUUGAUAUGAGAUAGGCUGUACCAGAGAGAGGAAGGGGAAGGAAAUCUUUUUAUAUCCUUUAAGCCAGCCAUGUGUUGCUGCUUUCUGCUCUAAUGCUAGAAUAAGCAGAGCCACA